UGGACUCGUGUUUACACCUUAUUGCUGCCUCCCUGAGGGCAGCAUCCUUUCAGCCCCUGAGGGAACAGAGAGGCGUGGCUCAGUCCUGCUGGCAGCAGGGCAGGGCCCCGCCUGGUGGAAGCCCAGGGCAGUGAGUAGACCCGUGUUCCUGGUGGGCAAGCUGAGGAGCUCAGGGACCAGUCACAGGGGGCAGGUGCAUGUGGCUGGUGGGGACGUGCUGGAUGCUUUGCGGGACGAGGGCAGCCGCUGUAGACAAGGGAUGACAGAGGACUGCGAGGACACCUUCAAUUCCUUGGAAAUAAAUGCCUAUGUAAGAGGCAUGGGUGAAAUGCUCAGAGGAGCAUAUGGCUGGAGGCUGGGCGGCCGAGCUGGGGGCGCAGGGCUGGAACUGGAACACACAGGGGCCUUUGAUGCAGGGGCGUCACCUGAGGACACCCAGGGAGUCUUCGGCCAUAAGCCAACAUCUCAGAAAGGGGCAGAAUCAGAGUACCAGUAAGGACCUCUUUUGUGUCGUGGACCUGACUGAACUUUUUCUGCUGGAAGUUUCUGGAGGAAGGAGUGAAGGAGAGAGAGCAUCUGAAGAGGACUGGCGAGAGGGGAGCACCUUGUCCAGGGGAAGGUAAUUGUUACGCAGAUAUUGUUUUCCCUAUUACACGUAUUUCUGAUUAUAAAAGUAAAUGGAUUCCUUGUAGACAUACUGGAAAAGACUAAAAUAUAUAUAUAAAGAAGAAAAUAAAAAUAACCGUACAGGACAUCCCAGGGAUGACUGCUGUGGACAUUCUGAUGUUAUCUGAUAAACCCAUAUCAGAGUCCAGGUCUAAUAAUACUGUCCUCUUUGCUCCAGAACUUUCUGUUAGGACCUCAGAACCCCGUUUCCAUGGUGUGAGUGUAUUGGUGCUCGGUCUCUGGGUGUUUCUGGGACCCCCGCUGGUGAGGCUGCGCUUCCUGUCUCCCUUGCAGUUAAGCAGGUCCUUGAGUUUGCUUUCGGCCGCGGAGUUGUGAAUGAAGGGACACGCGCGUCUCCAGGCUGGAGCUGUAAACGGCCAAAGCAAGGCACCCUAGAGUUCUCUUUCCCCUCUCUAGGCUGUCAGGCAAUGCACGAGAGAGCGGCUUCUCUGUCACUCGGAACCUGGGCUUCUGAAGCAGGUGCCCCCGCUGACCCCGGGAAGCCAUGUAACACGAGAAAAAGUAGCAAUAAUUGUGUUCUUAAACCCCUGAGCCUGUUGGGAGUGUUUGUCACCGCAGCGUAACUUGGUUUGCACCGACUGGUAAGCCAGCCCUGACCUGCGUCCGCGCCUCUAAACCUGGUUCGGCUGGAACAACCCAGGUGUGGUCCCACUGCCGUCCCUGGGCCAGGAACAGCCUCCACUCACGUGCUGGGGACGCCGUCUCCUGGAUGUCCUGUGGGCCUUCCAAAUACUGCAGCUCACCGCACACUAAACCCGUCACCCUCCCAUUCACCGCUAGCCCAUGUGAGCCGCGUCUCCCCCAAGCUUCCCCAUCCCAGCAAAUGCUACCUGCCCAUCAGAGCACAGCCUCCACCCUCUUUGUCCACCUCUUCCCCACGUCCCCUCAAUCACCACGUCCCCUCAAUCACCACGCGUGCUCAUUCUCUUGAACUAUUCAGUUCUCCCAGUGCCCAUGCUUACUGCUUCUGGCCUAGGCCCACUUCAUCUUUACCUAAAGAGAUCGCAACUUCCCUGCAGGCUUCUGCUCCCAGCCAUGUUCUCCCCCAGUUGCUACUUUGUAGACACGGAGCUCUGUGGUCCUGACUCACUUGCCCUGGGACAAAGGCCAGACUCCUUCACAUGCCACUCAAGGACCUCCGCGGUCUCACCUGUCCCAGCUUGGCCUCACUUUUGCUGUGGCUCUAGACGGGGAUUCUGGUUCAGCAGCCGCUGGGAGGCCUGCCCAGUGGCAUUUUGCUAAGCCUCCCCAGGUGACUGUGACGUGCAGCCACAGUGAGGAACCACUGCUCUGGACAAACCAAACCAUUUUCAGUCGCCUAAUGACGUCACACACCUGUUCACACUCCAGCUUUUGAACCUAACAACUGCUGUGCUUGAAACGCUCAUCUCUUCUUUUAUCCCAAACCCAAACGUCCCUGACCGUACGGGAAUCCCGAUCGCGACGCACAGUUCCUUGAGCAGCUCCUGCUCCCUUGCCCUCCCGGGCACCCGUGGGGUCCCACAGCACCCCCCUUACUCUCAUGCACUGCAACGCCUUUCCUUCCCCGUCCACCCCAUCUGCCCCUGGGGGCAGAGGCUGUGCCUUGUCCAGCAUUUUAAAGCUGCGUGAGCACAAUGUCUGACACGUACAAGGACUGAUGUAUAUUUGUGUGGGGCAAGGAGAGACGCAGGAAGGAGGCAGGCCACCCCAGACUGGCAGGUGGCAGAUGGAACGUGCAUGUACAUACGCUUGUAAAGCAGGUUUGCUGACACACGAGCCUUGUCCUGGCUGCUGCGAGACGGGCAGCUCUCUGCCCUCCAGGGCCUUGAAGACUUACAUGGAGGCCUUAACAGGGUUCAGUCACGUGUGUCGUCCGAGGGUCUCGAAGCCUUUCUCUCGCAAGUCUGUGUCCUUGGAAACAGCUUAACUGCGGCAGCAGUGGGCAAAAUGUAUGGAUUUCCAAGACCUGAAUGUAAAAAGAAUGUAAAAUAUCGCAUUACUAUAUUUGUACUGAUCACGUUUCAAUAAUAUUUGGGGUGUAUUGAGUUCAAUAAAAUAUAUUAUUAGAAUUAA